rnacentral:lncRNA from 1 species
AUGUUCAUUAAUCGAUUAUUUUCAACCAACCACAAAGAUAUCAGAACACUGUAUCUGCUGUUCGGCGCAUCAGCAGAGAUAGUGGGUACCGCCUUAAGCCUUCUGAUUCUACCAGAUUUGGGCCAACCAGGAACUCUGCUAGGAGAUGAUCAGAUUUACAAUGUUAUUGCUACUUCCCACGCAUUCGUCAUAAUCUUAUUUAUGGUAAUACCAAUUGUAAUUGGGGGUUUCGGUAACUGGGUA